UACGUAGGGUGCAAGCGUUGUCCGGAAUUAUUGGGCGUAAAGAGCUCGUAGGCGGUUUGUUGCGUCGGCUGUGAAAUCCCGAGGCUCAACCUCGGGUCUGCAGUCGAUACGAGCAAACUAGAGUGUUGCAGGGGAGACUGGAAUUCCUGGUGUAGCGGUGAAAUGCGCAGAUAUCAGGAGGAACACCAGUGGCGAAGGCGCCACUCUGGGCCGUAACUGACGCUGAGGAGCGAAAGCGUGGGUAGCAAACAGG
rnacentral:rRNA from 1 species